UAAUAGAGCUCGUUCGAUUGAAGCACCUGCAAAUGCAUCAUUUUCAAUUAUCGAUUUUAUUAACAGAUCGAAUGAGUAGAGUGUAGAUCUAAUUCGAAUACUUUGAUAAUGUGGAAAUUAAUUGAUUGCGAGAAUGAAUGAUGAUUUUUACCGGGGGUUGAAAGAGGUAGCAGCCGUCAAACCGAAAUAUCAGGGAAAAGGGAGAGAAAAUAAAGCGAAAGGGAUCCUUUUAUUCGUUCCGUCUAGGCGUCUAGCACAUACCAGAUAGAUAGAAGGUACCUAUUUUUUCAUUUCUAAUUUUUUCUUUUUACCGGCCACCAAAUCUUUCAAAUUGGUUACUGACGAAAUUUUUAUAUCGGGAUACACUCAUCUUUGAACCGGGGAAAACCCUCACCUGGGGCUAAAGCCCGUGAACACUUGCCCGAAGGCACGACAAUGCGAUGAAGUAGAACUCGCUCAGUAAGUGCCGCGGAAAAUAAUGAUAGGACAGGAAUCGAACUUAAGUCAGUUAGAAUAUCAGGUAAAGUGUAGGAUACAAAUCCCCUUAUCAUACAUUAUCUACACGAUGCCCACAACCAUACACGUGUCCUGAUUCAAUUUAAUUAGACAAGGGUAUAUCAGACAUUCUGUUCAAACAUCUGAGGGCUAAUCAGGGAAUUCCGUCAACAAGGAAGCAAAUCAGGGAAUUCCGUCAACAAGGAAGUAGAUUACGAAUUGGCGAUUUUCGAAAAUGAUGGAUUCGUCAUUUAGGAUGUUUGUUUUUGGUUUUUGUUUGGGUUUUAUUUGAAUUGAAGGUAUUUUCAUUUUAUUAGAUUGUAACCAGGUUGAAGAUAAGUUGUUUCUAGUUU
rnacentral:lncRNA from 1 species